UACGUAGGCAGCAAGCGUUGUUCGGAAUUACUGGGCGUAAAGAGUGUGUAGGCGGUGCUCCAAGUCUAGUGUGAAAUCUCCCGGCUCAACUGGGAGGGUGCGCUAGAAACUGGAAUGCUAGAGGAUGGGAGAGGUAAGCGGAAUUCCUGGUGUAGCGGUGAAAUGCGUAGAUAUCAGGAGGAACACCUGUGGUGUAGACAGCUUACUGGACCAUUUCUGACGCUGAGACACGAAAGCGUGGGUAGCAAACAGG
rnacentral:rRNA from 1 species